UACGGAGGGUGCAAACGUUGCUCGGAAUCAUUGGGCGUAAAGCGCACGUAGGCGGUUCGGUAAGUCGGAUGUGAAAUCCCUCGGCUCAACCGAGGAAGUGCAUCCGAAACUGCCGAGCUUGAGUACGGAAGAGGGUCUCGGAAUUCCCGGUGUAGAGGUGAAAUUCGUAGAUAUUCGCAAGAACACCAGUGGCGAAGGCGGCUGACUGGUCCGGUUCUGACGCUGAGGCGCGAAAGCGUGGGGAGCAAACAGG
rnacentral:rRNA from 1 species